CUCAGAUUGAACGCUGGCGGCAUGCUUUACACAUGCAAGUCGAACGGCAGCACGAAAGAGCUUGCUCUUUUGGUGGCGAGUGGCGAACGGGUGAGUAAUACAUUGGAACGUACCGAGUAAUGGGGGAUAACUGUCCGAAAGGAUGGCUAAUACCGCAUACGCUCUGAGGAGGAAAGCGGGGGACCUUCGGGCCUCGCGUUAUUCGAGCGGCCAAUGUCUGAUUAGCUAGUUGGUGGGGUAAAGGCCUACCAAGGCGACGAUCAGUAGUGGGUCUGAGAGGAUGAUCCGCCACACUGGGACUGAGACACGGCCCAGACUCCUACGGGAGGCAGCAGUGGGGAAUUUUGG
rnacentral:rRNA from 1 species